AAUCACUUUCUCAUGGUUAGUGCCAGCCCUGAAGCUGGGGGUCACCUCUCCCCAUGGCCUUGGAGAAGCUGUGGAGGGCCCAUACCUCCAGCCCCAACAACUGGGAUUGACUGGAAGGCACUGGCUCACAGCACAUAGGGUCACAUUCUGCUGUGGGGUCCCCUAGGGAUGUAGAAGCCCCCCACUCGGGGGGCCACGUGGGGCUUGGAAGCCGGGAUGGGACCAAAAGCCCCAAAUUCAGGCGGUGUCUCCCCAGCAGGUGCCGAAGGGGAUGUUGAGUUUUGGGAGUUGGGCACCAAACCUGAAGCUUCUUCAGCCGCCCCAAGGACGCUUCCCUGCGCCUCAACGCCGGCACAGCGCAUGGCUGCACCCCCAACCUCCGGAUUUAGCUCUGCCCUUUCUUACAGAAAGUAUCCCCCCUGGAAUCAGUGAGUUCAGCGUGAGGGCAGCCAGACAGAGGGUGGUGAGAGGAUGGCCAGGAGGUGGCGAGGGGACAGAUGGCUCCAGCCACGUCGUCUCCUGCACCCAUCACCCCUCGCAUGUUGCCUGGUGCUAGCACCAUGGCGUGGGGUGAGUUCACCACCCUGAAGGUGGUGGCUUCAUGGGCAGCAUGAGGACCCGACAGAGAACGCGUUGCACCCCAGGAGCUCUGCAGCUCCUUCCUGGCAGGGAAGACCAUAGAAUGAUGGAACAGGUUGGGUUAGAAGGGACCUCAAAGCCCAUCCACUUCCACUCCUGCCAUGGGCAGGGACACCUUCCACUGCAAUAAGGGUUCUGAGCCCCAUCCAACCUGGCCUGGAACCCCUCCAGGGAUGGGACAGCCCCCACUGCUCUGGACAACCUGGGCCAGGGCCUCCCCGCUUGCAUCAUGAAGAAUUUCUUCCUGAUAUCUCGUGUCAAUCUCCCCUCUUGCACCUUCAAGCCGUUCCCCCUCGUCCUCUCCCUGCGCUCCCUCAUCCAGAGCCCCUCUCCAGCUUUCCUGCAGCCCUUUUCAGUACUGGAAGGUGCUCUAAGGUCCCCACAGACCCUUCUCUUCUCCAGAACAACCCCAACUCUCAGCCUGGUCUCGUACAGGAGGUGUUCCAGCCCUCAGAUCAUCUUUGUAGCCAUCUCUGGACUCGCUCCGACAGCCCCAUCGCCUUCAUAUGUUGAGGAUUCCAGAACUGGACACAAGACUCCAGAGGGGUCUUAGGAGAGCAGAGAAGAAGGGCAGAACCUCCUCCCUCGCCCUGCUGGCCACGCUGCUUCUGAUGCAGCCCAGGACCCCCCCCUGCACCAACCCCAAGCCUGGAUCCAUCCCAGGUCACCCUGAUGCUCUCCUGGGAUCCUCGGCAUCUCCUCCUUGCUCCCCACCACUGCUACCUUCACCCCUGCGAGAAGCCGCGUUUCAAAGCACACACACUCAAGCCUUUUCCUCAUCUUCCCUCCUGUGACGUCAAAACGCUCGAUAAACCAUAAUUAAUUAAUCCCAGCUCUUCUCUCUCGGAAGGAGGUCAGCACCUCAAGGGGGACAAACCCCUCACCGGGGAUACCGGGGGUCCCCGAGGAGCUCUGCCUCGCUCGCUGGAGGCCAAGCGGCCCUCCAUGGUGGUUUAUUUGGAGCAGAGCGAGCGAUGAUGCUCCCAAAGGGCCGAGGGUUUAUUUGACUGCGUGGGGGGGAACAUCUGACACCUUCAACCGCUUUGGUUUGGGACUCACCGUCGGCGACGCCGAGGGAGAGGGUCAGCAGCGCCAGCAGCGCCCGGGCACGCGCUCCGCACGGCAUCGUCCUGCGGGGAGCACAGGGGAUCCCAAAGGACAGAAAGAUGGAACACGGCGACAUGAGUUGUCACCACCCUCCAAUCAGGCUGGGAAAGAUGCUCUGGAGGGUUCCUGAGCUGCCGCUCCAUGGUGAGGGAGAACCAACGAGAGGGAACGGCCUCAAGUUGCACCAGAGCAGGUUCAGAUUGGACAUCAGGGAAUAUUUCUUCACCAAAAGGGUUCUCAGGGCCUGGCAGAGGCUUCCUUGGGUGGUGGUGGAGUCGUCAUCCUUGGAGGGAGCCAAGCACAGCGAGACCCUCGUGCUGCGUGAUGCCAGCGCCGAUGGAUGCGUGAUGGCACCGGCUGCGGGUGGACGGACACCACAUUGGAGUCACCAAGAGCUUUGCUGCAGACCCCCAAGGCUUCAGCCUGGUUGCAGGCAACGGACAGAGGUUUUUUCUCCCCCAUCCCCAUAGCUGUGGGGUGAUCACGUACGUAGCAAAGCCGCUGGCACCGUCCAGUGCAGCCCCCACAGGAGGGACAUCCGCUCCGGCCCCUCUGGCACAGAGAGCAGCAAAACCAGCUUUGCACGGCCGGUGUCACACAUGGUCCCUCGUGCAGGGAAACGUUCCUGCUCCGACCUUGUGGUCGAGUUCGAACGCCGGCAGUGGGGCAGAGCCCUCGGCGUGGCUCACGCCGGCUUCACUUUGGGCACUUUGCUCUGAAACGGGAGCACCUUCAGCAGCCGCUUGGCCCGCGCUCACCCACUCCUCCUCUAAGGGGUUUGGCUGUGCCGAAGCGGUGAAUGGAGAUGGUGUGUCCUGCAGUGUUGCUGUCGCCGGUGACCACUGCCCUCGCUGCCGCCUCCGGCCAGCACAGCUGUCACCUCUCUUUCCGUUUUUCCACAUGCUUUUUCAAAAUACAUCCAAAAUCCCCGUUUCCCGUGUCCGCUUUGGGCUUUUUGUACAGCCGGGUAUCAUUUCAGCUCUUUAGAAAGGACCUGGGGACGGAUCCGGCUACCGCUACACUGAUUUAAAUCCACAUCUACGCUCCCAGCCCCGCCAGAGCCCCCGUUCCAGCCUGCGCUAACCUUGAUGUCAACAUCAACAUCCCACCAAACACGAAGGAAACAGGGCCAAAUCCUGAUUUCAGCUCCAAGGGAUAAAUGGGGAAGGAAACACUAAGCCUGGUGCAACCCUGGGCUUUGCAAGCGCACGGCGCUUCCCC